UUCAGUUACUGAAUGGCCCAACGUUCACGGUAAUUAUUUAUAAUGAUAUUGGGGCGUCAGAUGUUGAACCUGUUAUUCCAGUUUUCAUUUAUUUUUGGCCAGCAACUUCCUCUUGCCAGAGUAAAGGAGUGUUGCUCGUUUUUAUCACCCCCUGGUCACAGCGGAGAGAGUGAUCCCAGGAGACGGUGCAGCAGAAUGGUAGCAAGAGGAAAAUAUACUUUGAGGAUUUGUAGCAUGGAAGGCAUUUUGUACAGAUUUGAAUAAUGAAAUGAGAACAAACGAGCUGGGACUGUCUGUCAGAGCAGCGGGACGUGUGAAAGGCAGUCACCACCAUGGCUGAUGGAGUGGACCAGGGAGGAGAUCCAGUGGCCUCGACAACGAGGACAGACGACGCUCCUCCAAUGUCUUCGAUGAUGGAG